rnacentral:rRNA from 1 species
AUUGAACGCUGGCGGCAGGCCUAACACAUGCAAGUCGAACGAGUGGCGGACGGGUGAGUAAUGUCUGGGAAUCUGCCUGAUGGAGGGGGAUAACUACUGGAAACGGUAGCUAAUACCGCAUACCAUCGGAUGUGCCCAUAUGGGAUUAGCUUGUUGGUGGGGUAACGGCUCACCAAGGCGACGAUCCCUAGCUGGUCUGAGAGGAGGACCAGCCACACUGGAACUGAGACACGGCCCAGACUCCUACGGGUGGCAGUAGUGGGGAAUAUUGCACAAUGGGCGCAAGCCUGAUGCAGCCAUGCCGCGUGUAUGAAGAAGGCCUUCGGGUUGUAAAGUACUUUCAGCGGGGAGGCGUUACCCGCAGAAGAAGCACCGGCUAACUCCGUGCCAGCAGCCGCGGUAAUUC